rnacentral:snRNA from 1 species
GUUCAAUUUGGCAGCAUAUAUACUAAAAUUGGAACAAUACAUAGAAGAUUAGCAUGGCUCCUGCACGAGGAUGACACGCAAAUUCGUGAAGCAUUCCAUAUUUUU